UUACAUUUUAAGAUUAUGCUCGAUCCUAGUGACUUGGUUGCGUAUAAACAUGUUUUCAUGUAUAAGUUAAAAUGAGUUCUCAAAGGUUAAUUUCAGAGAAGGACUUUGACCCAAGAAACAUUGUUUGUCACGACACAAGCAAAAUAUUUGAGUGAUGAAUUUUUAUAUAAUUUUAGAAUUUAGCAAGCUAAUUUUUCAUGAACUGUAUUUUGAUGAGGAAAUAUAUAACCAUAUUUAAGCAGUUAAGCUGCUUUAUGCGAGCACCC
rnacentral:lncRNA from 1 species